rnacentral:rRNA from 1 species
UACAGGGGGUGCUAGCGUUGUUCGGAAUUACUGGGCGUAAAGGGCGCGUAGGCGGUUUUGUAAGUCAGGAGUGAAAUCCCGGAGCUUAACUUCGGAAUUGCUUUUGAAACUACAAGGCUAGAGUGAGUUAGAGGAUGGCGGAAUUCCUAGUGUAGUGGUGAAAUACGUAGAUAUUAGGAAGAACACCGGUGGCGAAGGCGGCCAUCUGGGACUCAACUGACGCUGAGGCGCGAAAGCGUGGGGAUCAAACAGG